UACUUGACAGUCCUCUUAUUCCCUCGGUCAGGUUGGUAGCAUGACAAUUGCCUUCACUUUCUGAUAUUGUAUCAACGAUUAUCAAAUGCCAACAUUUUCACAAUCUCAAAUAGAUGUUUGUAUAAUCAACUGCUAAAGGUUUAUUCUUUGAAGGGGCGGCGUUCAAAUCCAGAUGGUGUAUCCUUUCAAGGGGUGCAGCGUUCAAAUCCAGAUGGUUCAUCCUUUGAAGGCCGAAGGGGUGGCGUUAAAAUCCAGAGGAGGGUCCUCGCUGCUGAUGUUCUGGUUGUCUAAUUUUGGUUAGCUUUCUUGUUUAUCCUAGUCUUCCUCCUGGGCUGUGUGCAAUUCUGUGAAAUGUAUCUCUUAAGUACAAGCCAACCGCACCCGUAUAUGGCCUUUGGAUUGGAAUGGUCUCAUAAGCAGUUUCUAUCCUUUUCACUGUUUGCUAUGUCUAGUUAUGGAUUCAAGGUAGAGAAAAUUUGUCUUAGCAUGGUAUGAAACACAACUGAGUCUAAGCUAAAUUCGAUGUUUUUAAGAAAUAAUUUCAAAUUCUAAUGAUACGAGGUUUGAAA
rnacentral:lncRNA from 1 species